rnacentral:rRNA from 1 species
UACGAAGGUGGCAAGCGUUGUUCGGAUUUACUGGGCGUACAGGGAGCGUAGGCGGCCUGUUGCGUCCGCUGUGAAAUCCCGGGGCUCAACCCCGGGCCUGCAGUGGAUACGGGCUGGCUAGAGGCAGGCAGGGGAGAACGGAAUUCCUGGUGUAGCGGUGAAAUGCGCAGAUAUCAGGAGGAACACCGGUGGCGAAGGCGGUUCUCUGGGCCUGUACUGACGCUGAGGAGCGAAAGCGUGGGGAGCAAACAGG